rnacentral:misc_RNA from 1 species
UAGUAAGCGCGAGUCAUCAGC